CAAAGGAAUCUAUUUGGUUCAUGCAAAAGUAAUUGCAGUUUUUGUCAUUACCUUCAAGGGCAAAAACCUCAAUUGCUUUUGCAACAACCUAAUAC
ensembl:miRNA